UUUAAUUUCGGUUUUUCAAUUUUGUUGUUCUCCUCCGCAGCUUCCACUCCUACCCGCGCGCCGCCACUCUCUUCCCGGAGAUCGUCGAAUCUAUCAAACAGGUUUCUACACACACUCUCUCUCCAUUUACAGACUGUCAAAAUACCCUAAUUCCUAAAUCCUAAAUAAAAUCAGCAGUGCAAGUUCCCUUCUCACGCUCUCAGCAGCGCCAAGUUCUCCGGCCGUCUGUCGCCUCCCGUGUCCUCGUCUUCCAGUAGUCGUCCGGUCGUCGUCGUCGCCGCCUUCCUGCGGUUCCCUCCAGUCGCCGUCAUGGUCUCAGUUCCGUGUAGUGGAGAAACCAAAAGAAUACAUAUGCAGGGAAGUGGACAUUGUAGUUGAUCAUGUUGGAAAUGUUUCUGCCAGUCUUGACGGGCUUAUCUCUCAAACAAAUGCAUUUUCUGAUGCUGAGUUAAGAGAAUCCAAUGCCUCAAACAAAUAUUCAAAGCAAUUGAUGUGCCUAUAGAGUGGGAAGAGCACUAUGUAGAAACUGAAAUUGACCCUAUGACACAGAUCUUUCUGACAUGGUAAAGCUUGGAAUCACAUUGGCAAAAUCGGGUUUGCUUGAAAGGGCCAAUGGCCACUCCCAUUGGAAAAGGGAAUUGUUCAUUGAACCUUUUCCUACGAAAUUGGAGAAACUUUUGCUUCCAUUUCCAUCGAUUCUCAACUUCUUCCAUCGAGUCUUCUUCUCCCUUACCCUUCAAAUCCAUCACUUCCACUAUUAGGACCAAGCCAAGUAAGAGGAUUCCCAAUAACAGUUCCUUCUUCAUACCCAUUCCUCAUCAAACCAUUCCUCAAGCCAAAGGCCAAGACCUUGAUUUCAUUAACGUUUCCCACAGCCACAUCAUUCACUCUCAGUGGGAAAAUCUCCAACCUUUCUCACAUCCCCUCACACCCUUCAGGGUCAAACACAUCCUCCUCAAGCUAAAAAAUGACGCCGUUCUCUCCCUCAAAUUUUCCAACUGGGUUCAAAACCAAAACCCUAGUUGCCACUCCCUCGAAACACACGCCAUCUUACUCCAUACUCUUGCCAAAAACCGAAACUUUAGAGCCAUUCAAACGCUCCUCAAGAGGAUCAUCGCUGAUUCAGGCGCUUUGGAUUUGGAUUUGCCUUCUAAGCUCUUUGAAUCAUUGUUGUGUUCUUACCGUUUGUGUGAUUCCACCCCUCUUGUUUUUGAUGCGCUUUUCAAGACUUUUGCGCAUUUGAAUAAAAUUAGGAAUGCCACUAACACGUUUUGCCGCAUGAAGGAGUAUGGGUUCUUCCCCACUGUUGAGUCCUGCAAUGCUUUCAUGAGUUCUCUGAUUCAUUUGCAGAGGCCUGAGGUAGCUUUGUUGUUCUACUGCGAGAUGCGUAGGUCUUGUGUUUCGAUCAAUGUAUACACUGUUAACAUGGUUAUAUGUGCUUAUUGCAAGUUAGGGGAGUUGCAGAAGGGUUUUGAGGUGUUGGAGAAGAUGAGGGACAUGGGUUUGAGUCCAAAUGUUGUGUCGUUUAAUGCAUUGAUUUCAGGGUAUUGUAAUAAGGGAAUGGUUAGUUUGGCAUUGAAGGUUAAGUCCUUGAUGGAGCAUAAUGGGGUGCAACCAAAUGUGGUUACUUUUAACACCAUCAUCAAUGGGUUCUGCAAGGAGAGGAAGUUGCAUGAGGCUAAUAAGGUUUUCAAUGAGAUGAAGGGUUGCAAUGUGGCUUCUAAUAUUGUGACAUACAAUACUUUGAUCAAUGGGUAUAGUUCAGUUGGGAACAGCGAAAUGGGGACAAGGCUUUAUGAGGAGAUGAGGAGGGAUGGGAUUAAGGCUGAUAUACUGACUUAUAAUGCAUUGAUUUUGGGAUUGUGUAAGGAGGGGAAAACGAAAAAGGCUGCGUAUCUGGUUAAGGAACUUGACAAGGAGAACUUGGUCCCGAAUGCGUCAACCUUUUCAGCACUGAUCACCGGGCAGUGUGCGAGAAAGAACUCUGAGCGUGCCUUUCUUAUUUAUAGGAGCAUGAUAAGGAGUGGUUGUAAUCCGAAUGAGCAUACGUUCAAGAUGUUGAUGUCUGCUUUCUUGCAUAAUGAAGACUUUGAGGGUGCUGUGCAGGUCUUGAGGGACAUGUUGGGCAGGUCGAUGGCUCCUGAUUCUCUUGUCUUGUCUGAGCUCUGUGGUGGACUUUGUAGGUGUGGGAGAAAUCAAUUGGCAUCCACACUAUGUAGUGAGAUGGAAAAUAAGCAUCUAUUGCCGGAAGGUUUUGACAAAGGACAGAUAACCAUUGAUCAUCCAGAGAAUGAGACAAAGAACUGAACUUAUCAGGUUCGAAACAUAAUAUGUGAAUAGGGUAAAAGGCCUUUGUACUAUGGACAGGCACAAGCAGAGGAUGAGAUAGGGCUAUUGCAAAAGAACAUUGUUCCUUGGCAGCCAUGAGACCUACAUUUGCUGCUAUGUUGACGAAUGAUUUAACAAUGGGCAUGUUGAGCACGAUGAGUUGGUACUCAUAUAUAUGAUCUGUCAAUUAUCUUUCACAUGAAUGGAUGUGGAAUAGUCUUCAUGCUGCUGAUGACAAAUAAAGAAAGAAGUACUGCAAAUUUGGUUUGUGCAUAUUUAUGCUAUGAAAGAGAAGCUUGCAAUUGGAGGAGUGUGAUAAUAGAGCAAAGGGGAUAUUGUGAAAGUUUUGAAGGUGUCCGUUACAUUCCCUGAUGAUGUAAGGGUAUUUGGAGAGAGAGGAAUAGAAGCUUCCAAUCCUAAAUCAAGGAAAAUUCCACCCCUACCUUUUCACUAUAGUAGAAGAAAUAAGAGGGGGUAAAAUGGGAAAUAAUGCUUUGGGAAAUAUGGUUGUAACUAACUUGCGACAUGGCUCGGGUAGUGAGGGAAGCAUGAGAGCUGAGGCGUGAGGGUAUUUGAUAACAGAUUGGAGAGAGAAUACAGAUUUUGGGAGUAAGGAGUGAGAAUUAGACUAGGAGAGAGGCUGACUCUCUAAUAUCAGCCCCUAUCUUUCAUUUCUACUGUUUCAUUACUUCAUACUGUAAUUCUGCAUUUUCUAAAUUCAAUGAGUACAGGAGUGAGAUUUCCUUGAUCCACUCCCUUGAUUUUGUGAGCUGUGUGUGGGUAUUUUGUGCUUGUACAGAUACCAGUUUUUACAGUGUCCUCUGAACUUCAAUGGAUACCAGAUGCUGAGAUUACAA